rnacentral:sRNA from 1 species
UGGCCAGACUGGUCUCAAAAUCCUGACCUCAAGUGAUCCAUCUGCCUUGGCCUCUCAAAGUGCUGGGAUUAUAGGUGUGAGCCACCGUGCCUGGCCACUAAUUUUGUAUUUUUAGUAGAGACAGGGUUUCACCAUGUUGGCCAGGCUGGUCUUGAACUCCUGACCUUAGGUGAUCAGCCCGCCUCGGCUUCCCAAAGUGCUGGGAUUAUAGGCAUGAGAAACAAAUUUAUUUUUUGUUUGUUUUUUUGAGAUGGAGUUUCGCUCUGUUGCCCAGGCUGGAGUGCAGUGGCUCGAUCUUGGCUCACUGCAAGCUCCGCCUCCCGAGUUCACACCAUUUUCCUGCCUCAGCCUCCCAAGUAGCUGGGACUACAGGCGCCCGCUACCAUGCCCGGCUAAUUUUUUGUAUUUUUAGUAGAGACGGGGUUUCACCGUGUUGAACUCCUGACCUCGUGAUCCACCCACCUGAGCCUCCCAAAGUGCUGGGAUUACAGGCAUGAGAAACAAGUAUUUUUAUGAAGCUGGGAUUCGGCUGCACGUACAGCUUGGUAAUGUCCCCAGUGUUUGAAUUGGGAAACAGUUGCUGCCGUGCAUUUCUUACAUCCGUAUUUGUGCACAUGUGCAGUGACGUCGAUGUUUAGACGUGAAGCAGUCGAGUCACAGAGUGUGACUGGGAAUUGGACCUUGAUAGACGUUUGAUAAGUUUGUUAUCCAGACACCGAUCGGAACGGGUGUGCCUAAUACACUCUACAAGGUCUGCAUGAGGGGCUCUUUUUGCCAGUUUAAAAGGAGAAAUAGGAAGGGGGCCCAGCCCUUCCCCUCACACCAAGCAGCUGAGCGACGGUGGAGCUGAGCUGUGAUGGCUGCGGACCCGCGU